rnacentral:rRNA from 1 species
GAUGAACGCUGGCGGCGUGCCUAAUACAUGCAAGUCGAGCGAACGGACGAGAAGCUUGCUUUUCUGAUGUUAGCGGCGGACGGGUGAGGAACACGUGGAUAACCUACCUAUAAGACUGGGAUAACUUCGGGAAACCGGAGCUAAGACCGGAUAAUAUUUUGAACCGCAUGGUUCAAAAGUGAAAGACGGCCUUGCUGUCACUUAUAGAUGGAUCCGCACUGCAUUAGCUAGUUGGUAAGGUAACGGCUUAGCAAGGCAACGAGGCAUAGCCGACCUGAGAGCGUCGACCCCCACACUGUCUCUGAGACUCGGCCCCGACUCCUACGCGAGGCAGCAGUAGGGACUCUUCCGCGAUGCGCGAAAGCCUGACGGAGCACCGCCGCCUGAGUGAUGAAGGUCUUCGGAUCGUAAAGCUCUGUAGUUCGGGGAGAUGUUAUGUGUAAUUAACUGUGAACAUCUUGACGGUACCUAGUCAAAAAGCCACGGCUAACUACGUG